AUGAACAUUAGCCAUCACAAAAAAAAAAUUAGAUGAGUAUUUUUUUUUCCAAAACUCCGUAAUGAUACCUUCUCAAAUAAAUAAAUAAAAUCUACAAAGCAACCCAAGUACCCUUGAAUUGUUAUAUAAAUAUUUUUUAUAUAAAAAAAACAUCGGAAAAAAAGUCUAAAUAGCCCUCAUAUUACUUACAAGUAUUUUUGGAGUUAUAUAACUCGUUUGGAUAAGAAUAUAAAUAAAUAUAUUUUCUGAAAGAGAUGAGAUAAAGGGAAGAGCAGUUUGGACGCUUAUAAGUAAUGAGAGCAAAAAAUUAUAUUUUUGGGUGUACUUCAGGCACCGAUUAUGAAUUUUUAGCUCACUGAUCUAAAAAACAAUCGCUUAUAAUAUUUCAAAAAUUAACAUGCAAAUAAAAAAAAAAAAUCAAAGGUAAACAUAAAAUAAUAAUGACAAUGAAGAACAGAAACAUCAAGGGUAGGACCUUAAUGGAUAAGCACCAAACAUUGAUCACUCAUUCAUGUCUUCUCUCGGCUGUCAAGCCAUUGAAUGCCAAGUCAUGAAAAGCGGAACCAAAAUCCUGGUAACACUUAGAACCACAUCUCUAAUUCCUUGAACACUACGAAAGAUUCGGAGCCAACAAAAUCUACAUAGAUAUUUCCAUGCCUUUGGCUCUAGCCCGGCCAACUUGAAAAGCUAGAAAGACAAGCUCACUUCUCUAUAUAUAUAACUACAGAUUGAGAUUCUAGUUAAUCAGUAGUAAUUGUUAAUCAUAGAAGCAAUGGGAAGGAGUCUAGUUACACUUGUGCUAGUGUGUGUAUGUGCAGUAAUUAUAGGAGUAUUAGGCAGAGUGUUAUACUUGGUAUGGUUGAAGCCUAAGAUCCCCGGGAACAAGUACCGGCUGUUGACAGGGGAUAUGAACGAUGAGAAAGCUGCCUUCAGAGACGCUUGGUCUAAACUGAUGGAACUUACACACAAGAUAGCGCCUUGUGUGAUUCCCGACCAUCACCAUAUGGUUAAAAGAUAAGAUCAGGAAAAAAAAUUUAUUUAUCCAAUACUUUUUACAAAAGAAAGAAGUCCCAGCAGACCCGGAAAUGAAGGAAUAGUCAUCUUUGAUGAAGAAGAGAAAAAAUCUUUUUUUUUUGGAUACAUGAAUAGAAGAUUAAGAAGACUAAUUAGUCACCCAUAACUAUUUCUUCCUUUCAUUUAUCUCGUCGGUAAGUAUUUUCUUCCAUUCUAUAAUUCUAUUUGUAUCCUUAUUGUCCAUUAAUGAAUUCUAAAUGUCUAAGAGUGCUAGUUUAUUUACCUGGAGAAAUUCAUCAUUAUGUUCAGGCUAGAUAUGGUUCAAAUGGAAGGGAACAACCCUGGAAGCGAAUAUAUGGGAUCCAGACAUGAUGAGGGAAAUCCUGUUUAACAGGCCAGGUCACCUUAUCCAGCAAAAAUCGAACCCUCUGACAAAGCUCCUUGCAACGGGAAUCUCUUCUCUUGACGGAGAAGCAUGGGCACAGAGGAGGAAGUUGAUCAAUCACGCCUUUCAUUUGGACAAACUCAAGGAGAUGGUACCUGCUUUUCAAAUUAGUUGCAUUGGUUUAGAGGAAAGGUGGGAGAAGUUAGUGAGUACCAAAGGAUGUUAUGAACUGGAUAUCUGGCCUGAAUUUCAGAAUUUAACAGGAGAUGUGAUCUGGAGAUCAGCAUUUGGUAGCAGUUUCGAAGAAGGAAAACGGAUUUUCGAACUUCAAAAGGAACAAACUCUUCUUGUCAUUGAAGCCGCUCGAUCAAUAUAUCUUCCCGGCUUGAGAUUCCUGCCAACUGCAAAGAAUAAGAGAAGAACAUUAAUCGACAAACAAGUUAAAAGGAUAUUGAGAGAGAUCUCCACAAGAAGCUAGAUUCAAUGAAAAUGGGAGGAAGCGCUAAUGAUGACUUACUUGGCUUACUUUUGCAAUCCCAUAACCCGAACGCUACCUCCAACGAUAAAAACAAGAACAAUAGAAUUGCAAUUGAUGAUAUAAUAGAGGAAUGCAAGUUGUUCCACUUCGCAGGUCAAGAGACCACUUCGAUUUUGCUUACCUAGACAUUGGUUCUCUUAUCAAUGUACCCAAAUUGGCAGCAAAAAGCAAGGGAGGAAGUCCUUGAUGUCUAUGGGAAGAACAUACCUGACUUCGAAUCCAUCAGUCACCUUAAGAUUGUAAACAUGAUAUUACAUAAGUACUGAGAUUGUAUCUGCCUCUGGUCAUACUAUUUUGACGCAUAGACCAAAAAAUCAAAUUAGGAGAUAUA